UACGUAGGGGGCAAGCGUUGUCCGGAUUUAUUGGGCGUAAAGAGCUCGUAGGCGGUCUGUCGCGUCUGCCGUGAAAACCCGAGGCUUAACCUCGGGCUGGCGGUGGAUACGGGCAGACUAGAGGUAGGUAGGGGAGAAUGGAAUUCCCGGUGUAGCGGUGAAAUGCGCAGAUAUCGGGAGGAACACCGGUGGCGAAGGCGGUCUCUGGGCCUUACCUGACGCUGAGGAGCGAAAGCGUGGGGAGCGAACAGG
rnacentral:rRNA from 1 species